CUAGGGAUCUGCCCAGUCGUGGGGGAUAACAGUUGGAAACGACUGCUAAUACCGCAUACGCCCUACGGGGGAAAGGAGGGGACCUUCGGGCCUUCCGCGAUUGGAUGAACCUAGGUGGGAUUAGCUAGUUGGUGAGGUAAUGGCUCACCAAGGCGACGAUCCCUAGCUGUUCUGAGAGGAUGAUCAGCCACACUGGGACUGAGACACGGCCCAGACUCCUACGGGAGGCAGCAGUGGGGAAUAUUGCACAAUGGGGGAAACCCUGAUGCAGCCAUGCCGCGUGUGUGAAGAAGGCCUUCGGGUUGUAAAGCACUUUCAGUWGGGAGGAAAGGUUGUAAGUUAAUACCUUGCAGCUGUGACGUUACCUACAGAAGAAGGACCGGCUAACUCCGUGCCAGCAGCCGCGGUAAUACGGAGGGUCCAAGCGUUAAUCGGAAUUACUGGGCGUAAAGCGUGCGCAGGCGGUUUGUUAAGCGAGAUGUGAAAGCCCCGGGCUCAACCUGGGAAUUGC
rnacentral:rRNA from 1 species